rnacentral:tRNA from 1 species
GCCCAGAUGGCGGAAUUGGUAGACGCGCUGGUCUCAAACACCAGUGGGGCAACCCGUGCCGGUUCGACCCCGGCUCUGGGUA